AGAGUUUGAUCCUGGCUCAGGAUGAACGCUGGCUGUGUGCCUAAUACAUACAUGUCGAACGAAGGUAGCAAUACCUUAGCGGCGAAUGGGUGAGUAACACGUACUCAACGUACCUUUUAGAUUGUAAUAGCGGGUGGAAACAUCCGAUAAUGCCGAAUACUUAUUAAGAUCGCAUGGUUUUAAUAUAAAAAGAAGCGUUUGCUUCGCUGAAAGAUCGGAGUGCGCAACAUUAGCUUGUUGGUGAGGUAACGGCCCACCAAGGCGAUGAUGUUUAGCGGGGUUGAGAGACUGAACCGCCACACUGGGACUGAGAUACGGCCCAGACUCCUACGGGAGGCAGCAGUAGGGAAUAUUCCACAAUGGACGAAAGUCUGAUGGAGCGACACAGCGUGCAGGAUGAAGGCCCUAUGGGUUGUAAACUGCUGUGGUUAGGGAAGAAAAAGUAAUAUAGGAAAUGAUAUUACCUUGACGGUACCUGAUUAGAAAGCAACGGCUAACUAUGUGCCAGCAGCCGCGGUAAUACAUAGGUUGCAAGCGUUAUCCGAAAUUAUUGGGCGUAAAGCGUCUGUAGGUUGUUUGUUAAGUCUGGCGUUAAAUUUUGGGGCUCAACCCCAAAACGCGUUGGAUACUGGCAAACUGGAGUUAUGUAGAGGUUAGCGGAAUUCCUUGUGAAGCGGUGAAAUGCGUAGAUAUAAGGAAGAACAUCAAUAUGGCGAAGGCAGCUAACUGGGCAUACACUGACACUGAGAGACGAAAGCGUGGGGAGCAAACAGGAUUAGAUACCCUGGUAGUCCACGCCCUAAACGAUGAUCAUUAGUUGAUGGGGAACUCAUCGACGCAGCUAACGCAUUAAAUGAUCCGCCUGAGUAGUACGUUCGCAAGAAUAAAACUUAAAGGAAUUGACGGGGAUCCGCACAAGCGGUGGAGCAUGUGG
rnacentral:rRNA from 2 species